rnacentral:misc_RNA from 1 species
AAUGGAACUGCUGGUGUAUGGAGGACUAAAGCCCUUGAGGAAUGUGGUGGGUGGAUGGAACGGACAACUGUAGAAGACAUGGACAUUGCUGUUCGUGCUCACCUUUGUGGAUGGAAGUUUAUAUAUCUGAAUGAUGUUAAGUGCCUUUGUGAACUUCCGGAGUCCUACGAGGCUUACAAAAAACAGCAGCAUCGCUGGCAUUCAGGUCCAAUGCAGUUGUUCCGCUUGUGCUUCCUUGAUGUACUUGGCUCAAAGGUGAGCUUGGGCAAGAAAGCAAAUUUGAUAUUUCUUUUCUUCCUUCUACGGAAGCUUAUCCUUCCUUUUUAUUCCUUCACUCUCUUCUGCAUCAUCCUACCGCUAACCAUGUUCCUACCAGAAGCUCAGUUACCAGCCUGGGUUGUUUGUUAUGUCCCUGGGAUCAUGUCUAUCUUGAAUAUCCUUCCAUCACCUCGAUCAUUCCCAUUUAUAGUUCCCUACCUUUUAUUUGAAAACACCAUGUCUGUAACCAAAUUCAAUGCCAUGAUAUCAGGAUUGUUUCGAUUUGGAAGUUCUUAUGAGUGGAUAGUUACAAAGAAGUUAGGGAGAUCUUCAGAGGCGGACUUAGUUGCCUUUGCUGAGAAGGAAUCAGAUUCUUUAGUAGAAACUAGUAGUCUACACAGGUCUUCAUCAGAUUCAGGUUUGAAUGAGCUGAACAAGCUAGAAAACAAGAAAGCAGUAAAAAAGAGAAGGAAUCGUUUGUACAGGAAGGAACUUGCUCUGGCAUUGAUAUUGUUAACGGCCUCGGUGAGAAGCUUGUUGUCUGCUCAUGGAAUUCACUUUUACUUCCUAUUAUUUCAAGGGAUCAGUUUCCUGGUUGUUGGUCUUGAUUUGAUUGGGGAACAGGUUAGUUAAGUACGAGAUUCCAAUAUUCAAGUAUUCUUGUUGCAAGUUAUGUUGAGGGAUUUGGCUUGCAUGCAGUGAUGCUGCAGUCGCCAUAUAUCAACGACGACUCUCCUUAUAUACUUCCUAAAAGUUUGAAAAUCAGAGCCCUCACCAUUGGAACAUGUUCAUUUGGUUCUCAGCUCUGGAUUAAAGCAAAAUUUGAUUCAUUUGUGCUAUUUAUUCACUUAUUGGGUGACGGACCAUUGUGUCAUUGUUGUAGCGAAUAGAGCUCAAGUUGUCUAGGAAUGUUUGAGGCGAGAGAAAUGCCCGAAUUUGAUGCUGAACAUUUGAUUGAUUUUCGUAUUCUUUCGCCCCGAUUUAUAGCAUAAAGAAGGUGUACGCAUGCCUAUGUCAAAAUGAGGCAUGCACAUGCACUAUUAGAUCAUUAAAUGUCAUUCUCAUUCUUUAAAUUCCGCUAUUUCAUGGAUUGUUUACAGGCAAAUGUAAAACCCUAAUUAGUUGAGUGUUGAAAUCUCAGUUGAAUGUUCUAACAUUUGUCAAUGUAUCUACUCGUGCGUGCGUGUCGUUGUUUAGAGCUACUCUGAGGGGAAAACAUCCAACGCUUGAGGUCGGAAGCUAUGGCCUGGCCUGCUCGCACAGUUAAAUUACAAUGGCUUAAAUGUUACUCGUAC